CUUUUCUCCUUCACAAAGAUUGGGUUUUUCUUCUGGGAAAAGGCUGGGGUUGUGCUGGUGUGUGGAUUUUGGUGGCGUUGGUGCAGCGGCGCCAUCAGUUUCGCGUGUGCUCGUCGCUGUCCACCAGCUUCGUCCUGCUACGUGCCUAACUGGUCCUAAAAACUUGUGGAGUACAAGAACUACGGAUAUGACGAGAACGGUGCAUAGCCAGCUUUGAUUUCUUCUCAAGGAUUGGCAGUUUCUAAUAAGGUGGUAAUUAACCUAGCAAAAUUCUUUUAAGGUCUAUUCGGAUUUGAGGAAUUUCACGGGAAUUUUGGAGGAACUCAAGUGUACCCUAUGAAAAUCAUAUAAAACUCUCGCGUUUUGAAGGAACCUCUACUGAAUAGAAGAAUGCAUGAUGCUUUGGAGUUUGUUGGUACAAACCAGUAUCCUGCUUGGGCCAGCUCCUUCACCUGAUUAUUAUGAUUACUCACUAUACUUAACCUGAUCAAAUAAUAAUCUAUUUCUAACCGGCCUAAUUAAUCGGCUUAAUAAACCAUUGGUACUGUCUAAAGUUUGGCGUGUCAAAUUGACCGUAGCUUUACGGCAUUGCGCGUAAUGACAGCUAUUAGUGCUGGCAAGGACAGAUCCAAGUGAAAAACAAAAAAAAAAAGAAAUAAAAGAAAAGAAAAGAAAAUUUACUGCAAUGUGCAGAGGAGCAGCAGGUUCAUUGAAUCUGGAUUGGUACUCACCGU